UUUCUCUUGGUCAAAGCACUGUAUCAAUACCAACUAAUGUUGACUCUCUUAAUGUACUGUGAUCAAUUAUUUAAUUCACUAAUUGUAUUGUGAGCAGCAUUUUAUCAACCAAGUUUUCAUUAAGACUUACAUACAAAUUUUAGCCAAACAUGGAUUAUUGAUGACCCCAGUAAUAGUAUCUUCACAUACAGUCAGUCUGGUAGCUGGAAUACUUUUUAUAAACCAGAAUACACUUCAUUGUUUGAUGCAAAGUUCAAUGCCCCAGAACUAAAAGAAAAAGCAUUAAAGUAUUGGAGAGGCUAAUAAAGAAACAGGAGGGGAUUUAGACAUUCUAGAAGAUAUAGAUCUACU